rnacentral:rRNA from 1 species
GACAUAGGUGGCGAACGUUAUCCGGAAUUAUUGGGCGUAAAGGAUGCGUAGAUGGUAGAAUAAGUUACUGGUUGAUGCCAAACUCAAUUUGACGGAAGCUGGUAAUACUGCUUUGCUAGAGGACAGGAGAGGUUGAUGGAAUUCUGUGUGGAGCGGUGAAAUGCGUUGAUCUACAGAGGAACACCAAAAAAGGCGAAGGCAGUCAACUAUCCUAUUCCUGACAUUGAGGCAUGAAAGCGUGGGGAGCAAACCGG